rnacentral:rRNA from 1 species
AGAGUUUGAUCCUGGCUCAGGAUGAACGCUGGCGGCGUGCUUAAUACAUGCAAGUCAAACGAAGCAGUUAAGAAGAUUCUUCGGAUGAUUCUUAACUGACUGAGCGGCGGACGGGUGAGUAACGCGUGGGUGACCUGCCCCAUACCGGGGGAUAACAGCUGGAAACGGCUGCUAAUACCGCAUAAGCGCACAGAGCUGCAUGGCUCGGUGUGAAAAACUCCGGUGGUAUGGGAUGGGCCCGCGUCUGAUUAGGCAGUUGGCGGGGUAACGGCCCACCAAACCGACGAUCAGUAGCCGGCCUGAGAGGGCGACCGGCCACAUUGGGACUGAGACACGGCCCAAACUCCUACGGGAGGCAGCAGUGGGGAAUAUUGCACAAUGGGGGAAACCCUGAUGCAGCGACGCCGCGUGAGCGAAGAAGUAUUUCGGUAUGUAAAGCUCUAUCAGCAGGGAAGAUAAUGACGGUACCUGACUAAGAAGCCCCGGCUAACUACGUGCCAGCAGCCGCGGUAAUACGUAGGGGGCAAGCGUUAUCCGGAUUUACUGGGUGUAAAGGGAGCGUAGACGGCAAGGCAAGUCUGAUGUGAAAACCCAGGGCUUAACCCUGGGACUGCAUUGGAAACUGUCUGGCUCGAGUGCCGGAGAGGUAAGCGGAAUUCCUAGUGUAGCGGUGAAAUGCGUAGAUAUUAGGAAGAACACCAGUGGCGAAGGCGGCUUACUGGACGGUAACUGACGUUGAGGCUCGAAAGCGUGGGGAGCAAACAGGAUUAGAUACCCUGGUAGUCCACGCCGUAAACGA